GUGCCAGCAGCCGCGGUAAUACGUAGGUGGCAAGCGUUGUCCGGAAUUACUGGGCGUAAAGGGUGCGUAGGCGGUUCAUUAAGUGGGAUGUGAAAUACCCGGGCUUAACCUGGGAACUGCAUUCCAAACUGGUGAGCUAGAGUGCAGGAGAGGAAAGUGGAAUUCCCAGUGUAGCGGUGAAAUGCGUAGAGAUUGGGAGGAACACCAGUAGAGAAGGCGACUUUCUGGACUGUAAUUGACGCUGAUGCACGAAAGUGUGGGGAGAAAACAGGAUUAGAUACGGUGGUAGGCCACACUGUAAACUAAGAGUAC
rnacentral:rRNA from 1 species